rnacentral:lncRNA from 1 species
CAGGUGGCCAAAAAAAUUGAAGCUUUACAGGUCAGUUCCUGUCAGAAUCAGGAUGUUCUCCUGAAGAAAGCCAAAACACUCUUGCUGGUCUUGAAUAAAAACCAUACACUCUUGCAGUCUUCUGAGGGGAAGAUGGCAUUGAAGAAAAUAAAAUGGGUUCCAGCCUGCAAGGAAAGACCCCCAAAUUAUCCAGGUUCUUUAGUCUGGAAAGGGGAUCUCUGUAAUCUUUGUGCACCUCCAGAUAUGUGUGAUGCAGCUCACGCAGUUCUAGUGGGCUCCUCACUUCCUCUUGUUGAGAGUGCCCAUGUGAGCUUGGAGAAGACCCUCGGCAUCUUCACGAAGCCUACCAUCAGUG